rnacentral:rRNA from 1 species
AUUGAACGCUGGCGGUAUGCUUUACACAUGCAAGUCGAACGGCAGCGCGGGCUUCGGCCUGGCGGCGAGUGGCGAACGGGUGAGCAAUACAUCGGAACGUGCCCAGUUGCGGGGGAUUGCUCGGUGACAGCGGGAUUAGUACCGCAAUCGCGCUGAGGGUGUACGCGGGGGAUCUUCGGACCUCGGGAUCUUGGAGCGGUCGAUGACGGAUUAGCUAGUUGGUGGGGUAAAGGGCUACCAAGGCGACGAUCUGUAGCUGGUCUGAGAGGAUGACCAGCCACACUGGGACUGAGACACGGCCCAGACUCCUACGGGAGGCAGCAGUGGGGAAUAUUGGACAAUGGGCGAAAGCCUGAUCCAGCAAUGCCGCGUGUGUGAUGAAGGCCUUCGGGUUGUAAAGCACUUUUGUCGGGAACGAAAAGCACUGGGCCAAUACCACGCUGCUAUGACGGUACCCACAGAAUAAGCACCGGCUAACUACGUG